GACAGGUACCAGCAGAGGGUCCAUGUGCCCAACAUGACGUCCCUGAAGAUUGAGAACCUGACCCCCGAGGACAGUGGGCUGUACCGGGCUCGAGUCAGCUUCACUGGAGGAGUAGAAUUUACCCAACUUUUCCACCUCACUGUCUAUGAGCCUGUGCCCAUUCCCCAGAUCCUGGUCCACUCACCAUCCAUCACGCAAGGCUGGUGCAAUGUCACCAUGGAAUGCAGAACCUCAGGGGACACAGAGGACCUGAAGGUGACCCGGGAGGGCAAGGGCCUCCCCAGGCAGCUGGAGGAGAGAGUGACACUGGGACCAGCCCCCAAUUCCUGGACCUUGGCUGUGCACCUUCCCCGGAGCCAGCCCUACACCAACAUCACCUGUGUGGUCAGCAACGAAGUGGACCAGAAAACUGCCACCUUCAACCUUGGGGAAGUCUGCCACCUCGGGGACGCCCAUGGUUCACUUGGAGAGGCGAUUGUUGUUUCCCUACGAGGCAUCCUAGGGUCUGUCGUGGUCAUGGUGUUGGUCCUCAGAGGUGGACUGUACCUUUGGAAGGUACACAGGAAGAAGAAGAAGAUGGAGACUGCAAGAGGCAGGUGGCACUUCUCCUUCCUGCCCCAGUUACUUCCCCUCCCCCACUGGACCCUUGGCGCCCUUCCUCCUGCAUUCACUUCUCAAGGAAUAUCUGUGCACAGGAGAUGGUGGCAGUGGUCAUGGCCUUGGGGUACACAGCAGUGGGUGGAGGGUACUGGUUUCCCAGGCCCCGAUUUAAGCUCCAUUCUGUUUGUGACUCAGGAGCAGGAUUGCAGGAGGAUCAUGGGGUCCGUGACUGUGGCAUCUAGAGUGCAGAACUGAGCCAGCAGGAGUCUCUUGAGGUGAGAUGUACCCAGUGAGUACUGGGCACUGUGCCCAACCUGUGCUCUCCUGGUUCCCUCACUGCCCAGGCCUGGGUUUGUCUAACUCACGCAUUGCUGUUUUUAUUCCUCCUGCCACUUUAACUCUUUCUGGACAAUACACUGAGAAUUUAACCCUGGGACCAGUGUAUAGACCUGUGGAAUUCUCCAGCAUCCUGGCAUAUUGGACAGAUGCCAACCUUUGUUGAGUUGGUGAUGGAUAGGCCUGUAUUCAGAUGUGCUUAGUUUGCCAUAAUGUUCCCUUUCUAUUCCAGGGUCCUACCCAGGACACCACCUUACCUGCAGGUGCUAUGUCUCCUGAACUCUUCUUGGCAGUUUCUCAGACUCAUUUUAAAGAAUACCAGUUAGGAGUUUUCUAAAUGUCCUCAGUGAAGAUUUGUUUGCUGUUUCUCUCAUGAUUAAACUGGAAUUCUUUUUGAAGAAAUCCACAGAGGUAAAGUGUCA
rnacentral:lncRNA from 1 species